AACGAACGCUGGCGGCAUGCCUAACACAUGCAAGUCGAACGAGACCUUCGGGUCUAGUGGCGCACGGGUGCGUAACGCGUGGGAACCUGCCCUUAGGUUCGGAAUAACUCCCCGAAAGGGGUGCUAAUACCGGAUAAUGUCUUCGGACCAAAGAUUUAUCGCCUUUGGAUGGGCCCGCGUUGGAUUAGCUAGUUGGUAGGGUAAAAGCCUACCAAGGCGACGAUCCAUAGCUGGUCUGAGAGGAUGAUCAGCCACACUGGGACUGAGACACGGCCCAGACUCCUACGGGAGGCAGCAGUGGGGAAUAUUGGACAAUGGGCGAAAGCCUGAUCCAGCAAUGCCGCGUGAGUGAUGAAGGCCUUAGGGUUGUAAAGCUCUUUUACCCGGGAGGAUAAUGACAGUACCGGGAGAAUAAGCGCCGGCUAACUCCGUG
rnacentral:rRNA from 1 species